rnacentral:rRNA from 1 species
AACAAACGCUGGCGGCGUGUCUUAAGCAUGCAAGUCGAGCGGCAGGCGCAGCAAUGCGCUGAGAGCGGCGGACUGGUGAGUAACGCGUGGGUAAUCUACCUUUGGCAUGGGGAUAGCCACUAGAAACAGUGGGUAAUACCGAAUACGUUCCCUGGGGGGAGAUUCCAGGGAAGAAAGGGUGCUACGGCACCGGCCGGAGAUGAGCUCGCGUCCCAUUAGCUAGUUGGUAGGGUAAUGGCCUACCAAGGCUAUGACGGGUAGCCGGCCUGAGAGGGGUGUCCGGCCACACUGGGGACUGAGACACGGCCCAGACUCCUACGGGAGCAGCAUG